UCCCUAGUGGCUUAGAUGGUAAAGUAUCUGCCUGCAAUGAAGGAGACCAGGGUUCGAUCCCUGGGUUGGGAG
rnacentral:tRNA from 1 species